rnacentral:lncRNA from 1 species
AAAAAAUGGAGAUCUUGAAUGUGCUCCGUCCAUUACACUCGACCGUGUGAGCGCGCUGCGCAAGCCCGGGGCAGACGGCCUGCUCCGCCGUUUGUUUUUACAACAAGCUUUGCAGCCUCGCGGGCUGAGAGGAUUCUGGUUAAAGGGUGUACACUGUGAAUCACAGUUUCAAAGGAAGACGGCAAAUACAAACCGCAGCCAAGCCAUUUGUAAACCUGGAUUGCUGACAGAAAUCCAGGAAGCAGCAGAAAAACAACCAAACACAAAAACACAGUGAAGAGCCUGGAUUCUAAGCUGCGUGUUAUGGGCUGAAUUGUGUUCGCCCAAAAUUUGUAUGUCGAAGCUCUAACCUCCAGGACGUCAACGUGACUGUGUUUGGAGACAGAGUCUUUACAGACGUAACUAAGUUAAAUGAGGUCUCUGGGGGGCGGAGGAGCCCUGGUCCAGUGUGAGGGGUGUCUCUUUAAGAAGAGGAAAUGAGGACACAGACACACAGAGAAGACCAUAGGGAGUGACAGGGAGGAGACGGCCGGCCGUGCAAACCGAGGAGAGAGGCCCCGGGGGAACCCAGCCCUGCCCACGCCUGGCUGUCGGACUCUGGCCGCCGGAGCAGCGAGGACAUCAGUGUCUGCUGUUGAAGCCCCGGCCGCGCUGCCCGCUCCGCCCGGCGGGGCCCGGCGCCCCACGCCACCUGCCGCCCCAGCUCCGCCGCGGGGGCCUCGCCGCGCCGCCUCCCUCCGGGCUGCCCCUUCUUCACCGAGGGCGACGCCCCCCGGGACUUGGGGUCACACUGCGCCUGCUCUAGCGUCACAGGAGCACUGUUGGCUGGAAGCCUCUGUCCCCGUGUCCCUCCUCGCCCUGGACGUGGCUCCCUGCGGCGGCCCCGCAUCUUCGCCUUCUCCGCGCGCGGGCGCCGGGCGCACCGAGGGCGCUCACGGGGCUCGUGGGUGCAGCGCGGAACGGGAACGGGACGGUGUAGCGAGCAUCACCCAAGUACAACUCUGGGAAAGUACGAGCUUGAACUGCUACAGCGAUCGUGUGGGAAGGGGGUGACCUCCCUCAGAUGUUUGACCGCCGCCGGGUCCACGCCAUCUUCACUCAGCACACGCUUGCUGAAUGCCUGUCUGCGCUGGGCACUGGGGAGAGUGAACAAGACUCUUCUGUGAGGCCCUCAUUCUUGUGAGAGGAGACAACGAACGGGAAAGUACCAGAUAGUACCAUGAGUGUGCAAUGAAAUACUUGAUGUAGGUUAUGGGAUAGACAGUAGUCGGGGCUCCUUUAGACUGAGUGCUCUGGGAUGCCCCAUCUGAGGAGCUGGCAUUGGAGCUGCACCCUGAUGACAAGAUGCAGACACAUGGAAAUCGUAAGGAAGAGCAUUCCAGAAGGAGGGAAUAGAAAGUGCAGAGGCCCAUGCAAGAACACGGGAACAGAAGGGAGGCCAGUGUGGCUCGGGUGUAGCAGGCGCCAGGGAGUUAAGUGUGGGCAGGCGGAGGGCAGGUGACGUCCCGUCAUGGUGAGCGGAUCGUGACAUAAGAUCAAAUGAGGUUUUUAUUCCAGAUGUGGUGGAAAGUCACUUAAGGGUUUUAAAAAGAGGAGCGGCACGAUCUGACUCGUAUUUUUAAAAAGAUCAUCUGGCUCCUGCAUGGAGAAUGGAUGGGGGUGGGAUGGUGAGGGCAAGGGAGAAAACAAGGAGCCCAACUAUGAGGCUGCAGGAAUCCAGGCCCCAGAAGGUAGCGCUUGCAGAGGAUCUGGUGAGAACUGGGCAGAUUCAGGGUGAGCUUUGCGAGUGGAGUCCAUAAACCGUGAGGGUGUGGGAAAGGAGGACGCAGGGUGAUUUUCAGGUUUGUGGCUUGAGCAGCUGGCUGGAUGCUGGGGCCAUUUACUGAGAACCAGCCUAGGAGAGCAAUGUUUCGGGGGUGAUGGUGGGGUGGGGUAUCUAGAGUUCUUUUUAAAUUUCAGAUGCCUUUUCUGCAUCCAAGAGGCAAUGUCUUGUGAACAGAUAGAAACAGGAGUCUGGGAAUCAGAGAAAAGGUGGGACCUGGGUAACUAUGCCCAUCCUUCUGUCUACACAUCCAUCUGUCUCUCUUUCAGUGUCAAGGUCAUGGAUGCUGUUUAAGCCAGGAGAGAUGAAGAAGAUGCCGAGGCUGACCUUUGUGGUACUCCAAAUUUUAGUGAUCUUCACAUUAGAGAUGUCCAGCCAAGGUGACAGAAAAGGAGCAGCCAGAAAGGCAGGAGAAAGAUCAAAGUAACCGAUGUCAUGGAAGCCAAGAGAAGAGAUGCUUCAGGAGGAAGGAAGAGUUGAAGUGUUACCGAAGAGCCAAGAACAUUAGCCCUGAGCUAACAUCUGCUGCCAAUCUCCCUCUUUUUGCUGAGGAAGACUGGAACUGAGCUAACAUGCGUGCCCAUCUUCCUCUACUUUAUAUGUGGGACGCCUGCUACAGCAUGGCUUGACAAGUGGUCGUGAAGCUCCAGGGAAAGAGAACUUUAUUGGAUUGUAUCCAUGAUUGAAAAAGCCUUCCUUCCAUUUUUAACAUCAAUCUGGGGAAUGAUCAAUUGCUAAACUUUGAAAAUACUCUAUUCAUUGAGCACGUACGCCAUCCACAGUCACUGAGGAGGAGAGAAAGGGAGCCUGGAAGAUCCUGGAGGAUAAAAGUGCUUUUCCAAGAGGCAUUUGGACCAUUAAACUAUGAUGGGAUGGAUUUAGGCUCUGAGAAAAGCCCUGCAGGGAAUGCCGUCAUUCUGCAUCCCAUCUCCCUCUCUACCACCUGCAGUCCACCACUCCCCACCCACCGAACCUCUGCGGCCCAGCCCAGCCCAGCCCGAAGCCGUGUCUCCAUGGCUCUGCCAAGGCCGAAAGCCAGGUUACACGACCAUUCUGUUCCAGGAGCAUUGUCUUAAACCACAAUGGGAUUCCUUCACAUCUACAGGUUUUCUGCUUGUCUAGACUAUAAGAAUCUAUGUUAAUUAGGUGGAUCUAUUUGUACCGACAUGAAAAGAUGUCCAAGAUACAUUAAGUGAAAAAAAUUUGCAAAACUGUGUCCAUAAUAUAACAUUUUGUUAAAAUAUUUAUAUUUACAUACAUAUUAAUUCAUGGAACCUGAUGUUAAAAUUGAAGUUUCAGUGAAAUUGACAAGGUAUGUUAGAUACCAGACAGCACAUGAAGGGUGACACAGGUUACCCUGGAGGAAUCUUUAAAGGAAAUCUUGAAAACUGGCUCUGGGACCCUUGAAUCCUCUGACCCAGAGGAUUUCUUGAAUAUAACAAAGUGGAGAUAGAGGGUUUUGUGUGGAAAUUUCUUUGAAGAGUUCUGCUACCGCGGGCCAGGAGCUGGGAAGUGCGAGGUCCUGUAUCUGAAGCCCCGAGAGGAUGGGCUCCUACCGACAAUUAGAGAGCUUGGUUUGUGUUUCUUGGAGUUGAGAGACACCAGGGAUUAGUGCCUGAUUCAUGCCUCAGGAAGCAAAAGGGGCUUGUGACAGGGCAGAGAGAGUGGAGGGCUGUGUUUGAGAAGUAACUGUGCUCCCGUCUAUCCAUGGGCAUGACUGUUCUCACAGAUCCUGGGCCACAAGGGAGAGAGAGCCAGCCUGCAGGACCUAAGGUCCAUUUUAAGUCCAAAAGGAGUGCUGGGGAGGGCCAGUGAACUCCUUCAGUGAGAAUCGGAGUGAGGAGUGGGUCCUCAGAGAGCUGAGGGCUGAAAUGGGCUUUAGUCAGUAAAGGAGAGGCAUCACCCAGGCCUGAGGGCCUAGCAGGGGACCUCCAAGAUGCCUCAGAAACAGCCUGGAGAGGGGUAUGACCCUCAGCAUUUGUGGCCCAGAGAGCAGCAGUCAGCAGCCAAGGAAGGAGGUCUGUCUGUCCUCUCACCUCACUUCCCCAACCCCUUGACUCUGCCAAGUGAGCAAGUGGGGAAGAGGGGAAAAGAGAAAGAAAACCAGACCCCACUACCUUCAGGAGAGGAAAAGUCUCUCCUUUAACGAAGUCUGAAUUGAUGAAUAAAACCUUGGACUGGAUACCUACUUUCUGAUUCAAUGCUGUAUUUUGCAAUUGCAUAACAGUCUACUAUCUAAAAACUGAGGAAGAAAAUUGAGGAGACUGCCAAGUUUUCAGCCAGUGGUAGGGGAAAAUCUCCCUACUGAAUAAACUUUAAAGGGGUAGAGGGAAACAAAAAUACAGUGGGGGUUUCUAUGACACUCCUUUAUUGUGCUUUGGAGAGACUAGUUUCUCAUAAACAAGGUAGGAUGUCAGAAGGAGGAUGCAUCACUUUGGUUAUCUCUGAGGGGCGGGGACGUGGGAGUUGUUCAUUUUUUCUCUUAUCUACUUCCAUUAUGUUUGAAUUAUGUAAACAGAGCAUGGUUACUUUUGUAAUCAGAAAAGCUAUGAUGAUAAAUGUGCCCAUCCAAAAUAUAAGGGGAAAAAUCAACACCACGUGUAAAAUAUUAUUGGCUAGAAAGAGAGCAAGCUGAAAAAUGAAAUAAUCAUCGUUGCUAACAUUUGUAGAAUGCGUUACAUUUUACAAAACAUUUUCACUUUAAUGAUCUCAUUUGAUUGUUACAGCAACUCUGGAGUUAGGUUUUGAAUUAUUCACAGUGUGCAGAUGUAGAAACAGAGUGUCAUAAUUGUUGGUUACUUUGCUUAGCUGACAACACUUGCUGGUGAAGAGAAGGCUUGAGUUUGUCUUCUGGCCAUGAGUCCCAUAUUCUUCCUAUUUCACAAUACCCACUGCUGGACAGCAAGGACGUUUUGUUGUCAGGAGGUAUUCGCUCGCCCACUCCCAAUGGACCGCACUUGGAGCCCUACUGGGCCUGACAUGAUAAAGCCACAUUAACGCAGCCUGCAUUGACAGUACUGUUCCGAACAAUAUUCCACUUCCCUCUCUAAGCAUGCAAUCUCUAUAUGCUUAACACCUCACCUUUCUCCUCACCUUCCAACUGAUAUUCUUGCUGAGUUCCAUACCUGUUGAUGACCCAAUUGUUUUUCCAGUAUCACAGUCCUAACUUCAUUUUUCUUUGAUUUCUCCUUCUCAUUUUAUUCCAUACUUGGUCAUUUUUAAGUCUUUUUUUUUCCGAGGAAGAUUAGCCCUGAGCUAACAUCUGCCAAUACUCCUCUUUUUGCUGAGGAAGACUGGCCCUGAGCUAACAUCCAUGCCCAUCUUCCUCCACUUUGUAUGGGGGACGCCUGCCACAGCAUGGCUUACCAUGUGGUGCCAUGUCCACACCCAGGAUCCAAACCGUGAACCCGGGCCCCCAGGAAGCAGAACAUGUGCACUUAACCGCUGCGCCACCAGUCCAGCCCCUUAAGUCUUUUUGAUUGUCUCCUAGAGGAGCUCACAGGUCUGUCCAUAACCCAUUUCCAUGGGCUGGAUCCUCCCCACUUGGUUCAGACAUGUAAUUUUCUAAGCAGCUCGUUGCCAAUCAUCCAUUUUUUAAAUUACCCUUUUCUGGAAGCUUCGUCUGACCACAGAGGUUUCUAGCCUUUGUGUUCCGAUGGUACACUGCACAGCGUGUUAUAAUGGCCUGUUUACAUCACUCUCCAGCCCCUCGCUCCCA